rnacentral:lncRNA from 1 species
GACCGCAGGCGCCCGGCGAUUGGCGUUUGCGUUUUGCGGAGGUGGCGUCUCGCGGUGCUGCCCAGGCUCCCGGGCCCCCGCGCUCCUCCCUGCAGCGGGCGCUGCCCCCGCCGAGCCCCCGCCGAGCCCCCGCCGAGCCCCCGCCGAGCCCCCGCCGAGCCCCCGCCGAGCCCCCGCCGAGCCACCCCUGCUUCUCCCUCUCCCGGAGUUGCCUGGGACACGCGGGUCCCGCCGGCCCCCUCUCCCCGCCCGUCAUCCUCACUGUAGACUCCGGGAGAACCAGGUCGCGGCCCAGGACCCUGGCUGGACACGGUUCCCGCCGUCUCCUGUUUAGUCCGCACUGACACUAGCAGCUGCUCCAGUUACCAACGUUUAGAGCAGCAGAGAGCGGAUGGCGCCCAAGGCCGGGACCCUCUGCUGCUCCCACAGGCCUCUCAGGCGGCUCUGCAGGACCAGCCAGCAGCCUCUGAUGCUCCCUUCCUAUUCCAUGGCUUCAGGUGCCAUCCUCUCCACAGAGACGGUUUCUAUUGUGACGCUCUCCCUGACUUGGAAGAAUGGCACUGGGAACAUUCCCCUUGGUGCUGAUGUCGGGGAGGAAAGCAGUUUCCAGUCGCCUGGGGCCAGGACAUGGCGUUCCCAGCUGUUGUAGAGCAUGAAGCACCAGGAUGCCCAUUCGGGUGCCUGCUGAGAUCAGGCUCUUUGAGAAGGAAUCCUGUGGUCGCCUGAGGAAGUCCAAAAAAAUUUCGAGGACAUCUCAGCCAUCCAUCCCCUGUUCACUGUGGAGGUUGAACACCGGGGCUCCUGGAGGGGGGCCCUGGGUCUCCACAGAAGUGCUGGCAGCCACCAUCCACUUCCUGGCCUUCCGUGCCCGCUCCACCUCUGUUCUGUUGUUUACUGUCUCCUUUGUGGGAAUUAUGGAAUAAACAAUCACUCUGGUGUCCUGGAAAAUAAACCUGAUGCUGGAGGG